rnacentral:rRNA from 1 species
GACGAACGCUGGCGGCGUGCUUAACACAUGCAAGUCGAACGGAAAGGCCCUGCUUUUGUGGGGUGCUCGAGUGGCGAACGGGUGAGUAACACGUGAGUAACCUGCCCUUGACUUUGGGAUAACUUCAGGAAACUGGGGCUAAUACCGGAUAGGAGCUCCUGCUGCAUGGUGGGGGUUGGAAAGUUUCGGCGGUUGGGGAUGGACUCGCGGCUUAUCAGCUUGUUGGUGGGGUAGUGGCUUACCAAGGCUUUGACGGGUAGCCGGCCUGAGAGGGUGACCGGCCACAUUGGAACUGAGAUACGGCCCAGACUCCUACGGGAGGCAGCAGUGGGGAAUAUUGCACAAUGGGCGGAAGCCGGAUGCAGCAACGCCGCGUGCGGGAUGACGGCCUUCGGGUUGUAAACCGCUUUCGCCUGUGACGAAGCGUGAGUGACGGUAAUGGGUAAAGAAGCACCGGCUAACUACGUG